ACAUCAUCAGCAGCACGUCUGCUAUGAUGA
rfam:Danio rerio chromosome 20, GRCz11 reference primary assembly.